rnacentral:rRNA from 1 species
AGUUGCUGGGCGUAGACCCGAAACCAAGUGAUCUAUCCAUGGCCAGGAUGAAGGUGCGGUAACACGCACUGGAGGUCCGAACCCACUAAUGUUGAAAAAUUAGGGGAUGAGCUGUGGAUAGGGGUGAAAGGCUAAACAAACUUGGAAAUAGCUGGUUCUCCCCGAAAACUAUUUAGGUAGUGCCUCGUGCGGACACUUCCGGGGGUAGAGCACUGUAAUCGUUGAGGGGGUCAUUGCGAUCUACCUCGCGAUAGCAAACUCCGAAUACCGGAAAGUGAUACACGGGAGACAGACGGUGGGUGCUAACGUCCAUCGUCAAGAGGGAAACAACCCAGACCGCCAGCUAAGGUCCCCAAUCCAUGGCUAAGUGGAAAACGAGGUGGGAAGGCAUAGACAGCUAGGAGGUUGGCUUAGAAGCAGCCAUCCUUUAAAGAAAGCGUAAUAGCUCACUAGUCGAGUCGUCCUGCGCGGAAGAUGUAACGGGGCUCAAGCCAUGAACCGAAGCUGCGGAUCUCGUAAGAGAUGGUAGGGGAGCGUUCUGUAAGUCUGUGAAGGUGUCUUGUAAAGGAUGCUGGAGAUAUCAGAAGUGCGAAUGCUGACAUGAGUAGCGAUAAAGGGUGUGAAAAGCACCCUCGCCGAAAGCCCAAGGUUUCCUGCGCAACGUUCAUCGGCGCAGGGUGAGUCGGCCCCUAAGGCGAGGCAGAAAUGCGUAGUCGAUGGGAAACAGGUCAAUAUUCCUGACCGUACCGCAAACCGACACAGGUGGGCAGGUAGAAGAUACUAAGGCGCUUGAGAGAACUCAGGAGAAGGAACUCGGCAAAUUGAUACCGUAACUUCGGGAGAAGGUAUGCCUCAUUAGCUUGUAGGAGCACAUCCGAAGGGCGAAGAGGCCGCAGAGAAUCGGUGGCUGCGACUGUUUAUUAAAAACACAGCACUCUGCAAACACGAAAGUGGACGUAUAGGGUGUGACGCCUGCCCGGUGCCGGAAGGUUAAGUGAUGGGGUGCAAGCUCUUGAUCGAAGCCCCGGUAAACGGCGGCCGUAACUAUAACGGUCCUAAGGUAGCGAAAUUCCUUGUCGGGUAAGUUCCGACCUGCACGAAUGGCGUAACGAUGGCCACACUGUCUCCUCCUGAGACUCAGCGAAGUUGAAGUGUUUGUGAAGAUGCAAUCUCCCCGCGGCUAGACGGAAAGACCCCAUGAACCUUUACUGUAGCUUUGCAUUGGACUUUGACGGGACUUGUGUAGGAUAGGUGGGAGGCGAUGAAAUCGGGACGCCAGUUCCGAGGGAGCCAACCUUGAAAUACCACCCUGGUGUCGUUGAGGUUCUAACCCAGAUCUGUGAAUCCAGAUCGGGGACCGUGCAUGGUGGGCAGUUUGACUGGGGCGGUCUCCUCCCAAAAGGUAACGGAGGAGUACGAAGGUCUUCUAGGUACGGUCGGACAUCGUACUGAUAGUGCAAUGGCAAAAGAAGGCUUGACUGCGAGACCGACAAGUCGAGCAGGUGCGAAAGCAGGUCAUAGUGAUCCGGUGGUUCUGUAUGGAAGGGCCAUCGCUCAACGGAUAAAAGGUACUCUGGGGAUAACAGGCUGAUUCCGCCCAAGAGUUCACAUCGACGGCGGAGUUUGGCACCUCGAUGUCGGCUCAUCACAUCCUGGGGCUGUAGCCGGUCCCAAGGGUAUGGCUGUUCGCCAUUUAAAGUGGUACGUGAGCUGGGUUUAAAACGUCGUGAGACAGUUUGGUCCCUAUCUGCCGUGGGCGCUGGAUAUUUGAGGGGGCCUGCUCCUAGUACGAGAGGACCGGAGUGGACGAAUCUCUGGUGUACCGGUUGUGACGCCAGUCGCAUCGCCGGGUAGCUAAAUUCGGAAGAGAUAACCGCUGAAAGCAUCUAAGCGGGAAACUCGCCUCAAGAUGAGAUAUCCCUGGGAUCUCGAAUCCCCUAAAGGGUCGUUGAAGACCACGACGUUGAUAGGCGGGGUGUGGAAGCGCAGUAAUGCGUUAAGCUAACCCGUACUAAUUGCCCGUGAGGCUUGAUCCU